AACGCGAAGAACCUUACCUGGGCUUGAAAGUUAGUGACCGCUCCUGAAAGGGAGCUUUCCGAAAGGACACGAAACUAGGUGCUGCAUGGCUGUCGUCAGCUCGUGCCGUGAGGUGUUGGGUUAAGUCCUGUAACGAGCGCAACCCCUACCAUUAGUUGCCAGCGAGUAAUGUCGGGGACUCUAGUGGAACUGCCUGCGUAAGCAGUGAGGAAGGUGGGGACGACGUCAAGUCAUCACGGCCCUUACGUCCAGGGCUACACACGUGCUACAAUGGCCGAAACAAUGGGCAGCUACUUGGUAACAAGAUGCUAAUCUCUAAAUUCGGUCUCAGUUCGGAUAGAGGUCUGCAAUUCGACCUCUUGAAGUUGGAUUCGCUAGUAAUCGCGCAUCAGCAAUGGCGCGGUGAAUACGUUCCCGGGCCUUGUACACACCGACAUA
rnacentral:rRNA from 1 species